rfam:Fukomys damarensis contig88961, whole genome shotgun sequence.
GGAUGUCCAGGUGAUCUGGCUGCAACAUCUGUCACUCCAUUGAUUGCCAAGGUUGAUUCAGCUGAUGUAGCUGGCUAAGCAGUUAUCCCCUUCCUCCCUCACCACUCCAUGUGCGUCACUCCUGAAUAUGCACACUCAGUGGAAGAGGACGACCAUCCCCAACAGAGGACCACUUCCUCAGUGAAGGGUAUACAAGUAGAUGUGCUCCCCUGCUAGGAUCUCCAAACAAGCUCUCGAGACUGCCUUGGGUGUGACAUUUGAAGCAAAGAUUUUUUUGCUGCAGAAUAUUAUUGGUAUUUUCAUUGUAGUUCAUG